rnacentral:lncRNA from 1 species
UGACCUCACAUGAUAAAGAACAAAUACCCAUUUUACCAAACAUAGACUCGACAUUCAUUCCUUAUGUAAUUUAAUUUAGACAUCGAGAAGCUCUUUCAAUUAGGACUGAGUCACUAAAAAUGUUCUCAAUUCUUAAUCAGGUGCUCAUUCAUAUUCAACACCCAAUCAGUUAUUGACAGUACCCUUGAAACAUUGGAAAGGAG